AACGAACGCUGGCGGCAUGCCUAACACAUGCAAGUCGAACGAGACCUUCGGGUCUAGUGGCGCACGGGUGCGUAACGCGUGGGAAUCUGCCCUUGGGUUCGGAAUAACAGUUAGAAAUGACUGCUAAUACCGGAUGAUGUCGAAAGACCAAAGAUUUAUCGCCCAAGGAUGAGCCCGCGUAGGAUUAGGUAGUUGGUGGGGUAAAGGCCCACCAAGCCGACGAUCCUUAGCUGGUCUGAGAGGAUGAUCAGCCACACUGGGACUGAGACACGGCCCAGACGCCUACGGGGGGCAGCAGUGGGGAAUAUUGAACAAUGGGCGAAAGCCUGAUCCAGCAAUGCCGCGUGAGUGAUGAAGGCCUUAGGGUUGUAAAGCUCUUUUACCAGGGACGAUAAUGACAGUACCUGGAGAAUAAGCUCCGGCUAACUCCGUGCCAGCCGCCGCCGUAAUAC
rnacentral:rRNA from 1 species